rnacentral:misc_RNA from 1 species
CAGUAAGAGUCUCGUACAUCACAGAAAACCAAACAGCACGCGUGUAGGCGAGUCCAAGAGGAGAAGUAUGUGAUAUGGUUUGGUGGCACACACACACGAUGCGAUGCAGCCGCUGCUCUUCCCUUCUCUGUUUGCCUCGCCCUCCCUCCAUCGACAUGACGCACGAAAACGCCGCCGCCGGCGGCACCAUUAUGAGCGUGAUGGGGGGCUUGGAUACGGUUAUGUGCACACCCACCACCUCGCUCGUUGCGCCCUCCUCAAUCACCCGCCCCUCUCUCUCUCUGAGCGAAGCACACAGUGGGAAGCAUGGCCGCUCCGGCGUCCUCUGCGACGCUGCCUUCGGUGCUGCAGCUGACGGCGAACGCCAGUGCGGGUGGCAAGCGUCCAACGCGUGGCGUCACGAUGUCGGCGCUCAAGCAGGCCUCCAAGGCGGCAUCAGCGGCCCCGUCACCACCAUCACCUUCUCCGUCCUUUCAUGUCUUCGCCGACCUUCCCGACCAUCUCCUCUGCUCUCCAGACAACUCCGUGUGGGUGUACGGGCAGUACACGCUUUCCUUCCUCACCUCCGAGGCAGCCGCGCAGGCGAAACUGGAGAGGAAGGUGCGAUGCAUGAUGCGAGAGGCGCAGCGGCAGUACGACAUCAGCUGCGCCUUCUUCCACUCGCUGACGAGCGAAGAACAGAUGGCAGAGGUCCUGCGCGUAGGCAGCGGUGGCGGGGUGCUGUCGUUACCUCCGGCCAUGACGGCGGCGACGGGGACAUCCGCCAAGAGCGACCGGAAACGUCUGACAGGUGUGCACCGCGCGUUGCGAGACGCGUGGCCGACGUGGCGCGGACCCGACAUGAGCGACGCCGCCAACGGUCUCGCCGCGCGCGAGGUGGGGGGCGCCGGUGAGGGCGAAUCGUCAGCGAACCGCUACUCGGCCGGACUCCGUGUGAACCUCGUCCUUGACAUUGUUGCAUCCCGCAAGACCCUCCGCACCGUGCCGCUGCGCAGCCGGCCGUACCGCCUCGCCGAGUACCUGUACCAGCUCGUCAUGCGGCCCUCGGCCACGCAGCGGGCAACAGCAGCACCAGCGCAGGGCGACAUGGCGCUGCAUGUGCGCUCGCUCAUUAUCGGCAUCAGUGACGCGGACACAACUCUUGUCGGCUGCCACGUUGUGUGUCCGUAUCGCCACUUGACGUCCCCUACGCCAAUGAUGAUGCGACUGCGUCGCGCGAUCGAGGGGGCAGCGGAUCAGGAACGAGCCCGCGCUCUCGCCGCUGCCGAAGCUGCCAACACCACCGUGAGUGGUCUCGAUACACAGUGGCAGGCGUCAUCAGCAGCAGCGGCAGCGGAGGCUGCAGCCAGCGACGCCGCCCCCUCCCCGCUACGCAGCUUAGUGGCCAGCCAACUGGCACGCUACCGCUGCGUCGAUGCGUUGUUUCCGGCACCGUACGUCCGAGUGCCGCCGCAGUCGCUGGAGCAGAUCGAUCAGAGUCGGCUCAUUCUCUGCACACCCGGCAAGUUGCUGGACGGCUGAUGGCAGACGAGCCGGAAGAGAAGCGCCCGGUAGCAUCGCUUCACUAUUCUUUAUCGUAGAGGCGGCGACAAGAACACAAGAGGGAAAGAGGAGAGAGAGAGAAAGGAGGGAUGACGAGGCGCGAGUCAACGUACCCUUCUGCAUCCGUCCAGUGACGUGCUUCACCCAGCACCGAUCUUUCCUCUGUUCGCCUCCUGUAGUCUCUUCUCACCACCGCAGAUCUCGAGGAACCGCGUCCUUUGUACGCGACCGCGUGCCCCUCACAUUCUUGAUUAGACACCACGACGGGAGGAGGAGGCAGCGGAGGGGAGGAGGGUUCUUCCUCUCUUCCCUCUCUUUGGGAGUAGCGCAAGACGGAAGGAUGGGACGAGAUGGGGGAGCCACGUAAACGGUGUCGACUCCGUGAGUCGCGUUCUCGCGCGCGGUGCGUGCUGAGAGAGCCAGUGUGGUGUGCUCCUCCACGGUAAAUCUGGAAGCCCGCCCCCGUGAGGCGGAGGCCGGCGCCUGUAUGUUGGGGAGUGCGCCCUGCCGACCCCACUCCCUUUCGGCAUCUCCCUUACUGACCCUCAGCCCAUCGUGCACUCAUGGCUGCGCGUGCGGUGGACCUGUGUCGGUGUGCCUGCGUAGCUGAGCUGUCCACGUCCGCGUCUUCAGCACCCUCCCUGCGAGGCCCACGCCCCUUCCUGCGCGUACGGGCGCACAUACGCGUCUCACCCCCCCCCCCUCGUCAUCACUGUCGCGCGUGAUGUGCGUGUGUGUGGCCUCGUCGCGUCUGUGUGGGUGGGCGGCGGCGGCGGCUCUGCAUCCUCUGUCGCCCACACGCUCCCUCCCGCACGGCACAAAACGCCGGUCAUCAUGACUGGCAGCGCUGCUCGAUGUACACGAUCUUGUCGCUGCCUGUGCCGUCCCACAUUAUGUAUGUAUGUCUGUUGCCCAACUCCCCCCUCCAUACCCUGUCCGUCUGCGUGCGUAUCUCCGUGUGGGUGCCCUCGGUGCAUGUAUGGUGUGCCACCCUUGCCCAUGGGAGCCAAAGCCUUUCUCUUGAUGCCUCUUCACCUCACCUCGCGUACGCGCGUGAGGCGUGUGCGCGCGCCUGUCGAAGGGCCGCAGCCGGCAUUGUAUUGCCUCCGCUCGCGCUGUCUGUGAUGGUCUGCGCGUGGUCAGCGACGCCUCCGCCCCCCCCCCCCGACUCACCGCACCGCCUGACAUGAUCAUCCCUACGGCUGCGCCUCCACACAUCCCACCAUCUCCGCCGCGGCUCCUCAUCUCCACGCACACGAGCACCUUUCCCCAUGACCACCAACGUCCUCCCAAAACAG